rnacentral:rRNA from 1 species
CCGUGGGCGUUGGAGAAUUGGUUGGGGCUGCUCCUAGUACGAGAGGACCGGAGUGGACGCACCACUGGUGUUCCGGUUGUGUCGCCAGACGCAUUGCCGGGUAGCUAAGUGCGGAAGAGAUAAGUGCUGAAAGCAUCUAAGCACGAAACUUGCCAAGAGAUGAGUUCUCCCAGAUUACAAAUCUGUAAGGGUUGUUUAAGACUAAGACGUAGAUAGGUCUGGUGUGUAAGCGGUGCGAGCCGUUGAGCUAACAGAUACUAAUUGCCCGAGAGGCUUAACUAUACAACGCUCAAGGGUUUUG